ensembl:lncRNA
AGUACAUUCUACUGCCCUAAUGCACUUGAAUUCUCCCAGCUUCUAGAUUAGGGAAUUCCAAGUUGGGUUUCUGUCAGUUGUGUCUAAAGAAUCUUAACUAGCAAAGGGCACUACCUUGAUCCUUCCCUGAUGUCUAUAUCCUGAAUUCCAUGAAAUGGAGAAUGCUAAUUAUUCACCGUUAUCCAGACAAAAUAUAUUCAUCCUUCAGAAGUCUUGAUCAUCAGUGUUAGAAGGUUAUUACAGAAUAUUGAGUAGAAUUCCCUGUACAAUACCAUGUCUGAAAGAUUGCAGAGUAGAAGAAUGUACACUUAUCUUCCCCUGUGAGAACACCGCUAAACAACCAUUGACAGGAUGAUGUUGGAACCCACGAAAAAAAGAUACCCCGUCCAAGGACAAAGGAGAAGCCGCAGUAAGAUGGUAGGAGGGGUGCAAUCAUGUUUAAAUCAAGCCCCAUACCCACCAGAGACUCUUGGAGGGCACAAAGAAAAACCUUGUGUGCACCAAGACACAGGGAAAGGAGCAUUGCAGCCCACAAAAGACUGAGCCAGACCUGCCUGUGAGUGUUUGAGGGUCUUCUGCAGAGGCCUGGGUCAGCACUGCAGUACGUGAACACUGGCAGCAGCAGUCCUGGGAGGUGCGGUGUGUGGCAUGAGUCCUCUUGAAGGAGGUCACCAUUAGCCCCACCAUAGAGCUUCCAGUCAUCUGAGUUAAAUUCACCCAUUCCAGUCAUUUUAGUUCACUGGUUCCUAAAAUGUUGAUGUUUACUCUUGCCAUCUCCUGUUUGACCACUUCUAAUUUACCUUGAUUCAUGGACCUAACAUUCCAGGUUUCUAUGCAGUAUUGUUCUUUACAGCAUCAGCCUUUACUUCCAUCAUCAGUCAUGUCCAUAACUAGAUAUUGUUUUUCCUUUGGCUCCAUCUCUUCAUUCUUCUGGAGUUAUUUCUCCACUCUUCUCCAGUAGCAUAUUGGGCAC